AUGCCUUCACAGGAGGAAAAGUGUCUGUUGCAAUUUCCGAGUAUCAGCCCUCUGGUCGGUCAGCUCAUGCUGAAGAGAGCACCGUCCUUCCAGUGGCUACUGGGGGCCUCGCGAUCUCAGCUGAACGAGCUUCUCCCCGAGGUGCCACAUAAAGUCCUCAAGCUGUUCAGUGACACCACCGCCCUGUACACACGGAUCGCCGUCACCAACCAGCCAGAGACUCAGACAGUCGUCGCCGAGACAAACCAUCAAACCUCCCAGCCGCACCCCCCACCCACCACCUCCCAUCCUCCUCCAGAGCCGUUCUGUGGCCAACACAACGCCAGCUUCCUGUUCGGAGCUGAGAGCGAACAGGACCCCGGCCUGGCGGUGUACGAUGAAAACUCUUCAGAUUUCAGACUCGACCUGAGGAGCUGUUCCCCUGGCAGUCUAGGUGUUUACCUGCAGAACGUACCGGUGCGGACAAGCGAUGAGCUGUGGAGAAAGGAGGCAGAGUUUUCUGGACUGAAAAGCAGAGCUGGAGCCGUGGGCAGAGUCGUGAGGAGGGUAAACGACGAGUGGACACUCGGGCCUUCGCCGAACCUCAGCGGCUUCAUCAACUUCCUACGCACUGCUGACGACAGUCCUCUCAGACUGGACUCCACAUUCAGCUGCAGCCCUGUGCAGCAGCAGCCGCCUGAGGUCCACGCUCAAACGUACACAUACUAUGACGACAAUCACGUCACCCGCAGGCCGAGCACCCCCACAGGGCUCCCGCUGUGGGGUCGAGGCGAGAGCAGCAGCGACUGGCUCUCCGACAGCAACGGAAUGACAGCAGGUUCAGUCAAGUACGGCUCCAAUCGCUGGAUAGGACGAGAGAGGAAGAGGAGAGGAGAGGCUGCAGGCUUGGCUGGAACAGUGUUGACGCCACUGAAGAAAGGGAGGCUGAGCUAUGAGAGGGUUCCCGGCAGAAGUGACGGACAGACGAGGCUCAAACUGUUUUAA
rnacentral:lncRNA from 1 species